rnacentral:rRNA from 1 species
UUAACACAUGCAAGUCGAGCGAGAACGCGGGUCUUCGGACCCGUUAGUAGAGCGGCGAACGGGUGAGUAACACGUGAGUAACGUGCCUCGAGGUGGGGGAUAACAGUGCGAAAGCGCUGCUAAUACCGCAUGAGCUCGCACCGUCUUUGGGCGGAGUGAGGAAAGAGGGCCUCUGAUUCAAGCUCUCGCCUUGAGAUCGGCUCGCGCCCCAUUAGCUUGUUGGUGAGGUAACGGCUCACCAAGGCUUCGAUGGGUAGCUGGUCUGAGAGGAUGAUCAGCCACACUGGAACUGAGACACGGUCCAGACUCCUACGGGAGGCAGCAGUGGGGAAUCUUGCGCAAUGGGCGAAAGCCUGACGCAGCAACGCCGCGUGUGUGAUGAAGGCCCUCGGGUUGUAAAGCACUGUCAAGAGGGAAGAAAUGUCCCCGGAUAAUAUCCGGGAACUAUGACGGUACCUCUGAAGGAAGCACCGGCUAACUCCGUG